AGCUCUAAGAAAAAUAAAAAAACAGAUAGGAAAACCCAAUACAUUCCUAGAACGAACCCACCUACUACAAAAGUAUUGUACAAAUCAUUAGGGCUAGGCCACAGAUCAUGCUGCCGUGGAGAUCAAUUUGUAAGUGGAAGUUUAUAGUGGAAAGCAAUAUUUAAGUCUGGCUCGUAUAUAAGCAUAUGUAGGUGAUGGAGGUGCGCUCAAUCCUUCGUCUGGAAUUCAGGAUGCUCUAGUGGAUAAGUCCCAGUACCAAAAAAGGACCAAUUGAAGCAUUUGAAUAUAAAGAAUAAUCCAGGCACUCCAGCAUAUUCCAAAAUGUAGGCAAUCU